rnacentral:snRNA from 1 species
UUGCUUUGGCAGUACAUACACUGAAAUUGGAACGAUACACAAAUUAGCAUGGCCCCUGCGUAUGACAAGAAAACAUAUUUAA